UUCUCCGUGUGUAAUUCCAAGAUAAGGAACUGAGACGAGCUGCCCUGGAAGCAACAACAUUUGCAUGCAUGCGUAGAGCAGAAAACAUGGAUUCCAUGCAUCAAUAUCAGGCAUCUUGCGUCUCUAACCUCAUCACUCUGAGUCUGUAUUAACAUUAGAGGUACGUACGUCCUGGGUAUCUACAUUUGAGGCCAUUUGAUCCCUGGAAGGACUGUGCACCUCAGAGGCACAGAGCAGAGGAAAGGGUCUGCCGGACAAGCAGUUGGAACGUGUGAACCAACAGGUGCCGCGAAAAGACUCACGCCUCCCUCGAUCUACGUGCUGUUUUUGUUCUCCUAUACAGUCCGUUCCGUGACUCUGGGAGACUCAGGUGAAGAAGGAGGGUCCACACAAGCAGUAAACCCUUUGUGGCCCGAGGCCAAA